UUCUUCUAAAAUAAUUUUCUACGAUUCGCCCUUAGAGUUUGAUCCUGGCUCAGGACGAACGCUGGCGGCGUGCCUAACACAUGCAAGUCGAACGAGGUCCAACCAAUGGCAACAUUGGGGAAUACCUAGUGGCGAACGGGUGAGUAACACGUGAGGAACCUGCCCCGAAGACCGGGAUAACGCUCCGAAAGGAACGCUAAUACCGGAUACCUUCACCGGACCGCAUGAUCUGGUGAAGAAAUGGAUUCCGCUUCGGGAGGGUCUCGCGGCCUAUCAGCUUGUUGGUGGGGUAAUGGCCCACCAAGGCUUCGACGGGUAGCUGGUCUGAGAGGACGAUCAGCCACACUGGGACUGAGACACGGCCCAGACUCCUACGGGAGGCAGCAGUGGGGAAUCUUGCGCAAUGGGCGAAAGCCUGACCCAUCAACGCCGCGUGAGGGAGGAAAUCCUUCGGGAUGUAAACCUCGCAAGCAGGGAACGAAUGCAACCCACCUAAUACGUGGGAAGAGGGACGGUACCCUGCGUAAGCCACGGCUAACUACGUGCCAGCAGCCGCGGUAAUACGUAUGUGGCAAGCGUUGUUCGGAAUUAUUGGGCGUAAAGGGCGCGUAGGCGGCUGGGUAAGUCGGUUGUGAAAUCCCGGGGCUCAACCCCGGACGGUCGACCGAGACUGUCUGGCUAGAGUACGGAAGAGGUAGCUGGAAUUCCCGGUGUAACUGCUGAAAUGCUCAGAUCUCGUGAGGUACACCAGAUGUCGAAGCUGGCUACUGGGCCGAUACUGACGCUGAUGCGCGACAUCUAGGGUAGCAAACGAGAUUAGAUACUCCGGCAGUCCUGGCCCGUAAUCGAUGCACACUUGUUGUGUCGGUAUUACAGUUCCUACGUGCCGACUAGCGCUUAGCUGUCGACUGGGAGUACGUCCCAGCUUGAACUCCACGUAUUGACGGGACCCGCACAAGCGGUGGACCUUGGUUAAUU
rnacentral:rRNA from 1 species